AUGGAUCUAUUAAUAAAAUCUGGUGAAUGUCCUACUUUGCGUCAAUGCGCAUGCGCACCAGUCAACAGCGUCGACUUGACUAAAACAACACGGAAUCGUCCUACAGCUGUUUAAGAAGAAAACUGGGAAAACGGUAAUAGAUGCCUAUUUGCACAUCUUCAUUGAAAAGCACAAGGCAAAUUGUCAACAUCCCCAAGAAGGCCCUCAUCCUUAUUGAUCCCUUUGGGAAAGAGGACUAUUAUUCAAGAAAAGUUCUCCACAACUGGAGGAACUACCUUAAAAGGAUGGAGAGAAGGGGCUGAGGCAUGGCAGGUGGAGACUGUGCACCACAAUAAACAGCAGGAUGCCAGUAGCUGCAGAGUUUUGGUUAUGAAGUUUGCAGAAAACUUCCUCACUGAGGAAUCCACAGAGGUCGUCACCACAGCUGAGGCUUUGCAUGAAUACAGGAAGCAGAUCGCCUGUAGCUGCUACAAAAUCCGGGCGAUGCAAAAGAUUACUGCAUAGUGUGCGCCCGGCUGGAGUGCGAUCCACAGCACAGCAUGAUAGGAAUGGUGCAGUGUGGGACAUGUCAUCGGUGGGCCCAUUUGGAAUGCGCCAAAUGGCCAAUAAGAUAACAACAAUCGCCUUGACAGAUGAGGAGGUGGCGUCUGUCAAGGCCACAUUUAAAUGUGUUAUCUGCAGAGAUCCAAUGAAGGAGCCUGUAGUGGGCGCAUGCUGCCGCAGCCUCAUUGGUUGCAGAACAUGUGUGGAUGAGUGGGUGAUUCAUGAGCCCAGUUGCCCCAAAUGCAGGGAUGGGGAAUUUCGGGUGAAAAGCUUCAUCCUGACCGGCGUUGAAGACACUCUGAAUAUUUUCAAAGACACUAUUAGGGGAUAAAUAGUUUUUUUAUUACAUUUUUUUGGUUCAUAAUAGUUCAUGUUUUAUUUGGUUGUCGUAGUGUCCUUGGGCAAGAUACCUUACCCACCUGUCCCGUGUGAAUGUGUAUGAAUGUGUAUGAAUGUUGGUGGUGGUCGGAGGGGCCGUUUGGCGCGGAA